CAUACGGCUCAGUAACACGUAGUCAACAUGCCCAGGGGACGUGGAUAACCUCGGGAAACUGAGGAUAAACCGCGAUAGGUCACUACUUCUGGAAUGGGUAAUGACCCAAACCUAUAUGGCCCCUGGAUUGGACUGCGGCCGAUCAGGCUGUUGGUGAGGUAAUGGCCCACCAAACCUGUAACCGGUACGGGCUCUGAGAGGAGGAGCCCGGAGAUGGGCACUGAGACAAGGGCCCAGGCCCUAUGGGGCGCAGCAGGCGCGAAACCUCUGCAAUAGGCGAAAGCUUGACAGGGUUACUCUGAGUGAUUUCCGUUAAGGAGAUCUUUUGGCACCUCUAAAAAUGGUGCAGAAUAAGGGGUGGGCAAGUCUGGUGUCAGCCGCCGCGGUAAUACCAGCACCCCGAGUGGUCGGGACGUUUAUUGGGCCUAAAGCAUCCGUAGCCGGUUCUACAAGUCUUCCGUUAAAUCCACCUGCUCAACAGAUGGGCUGCGGAAGAUACUAUGGAGCUAGGAGGCGGGAGAGGCAAGCGGUACUCGAUGGGUAGGGGUAAAAUCCGUUGAUCCAUUGAAGACCACCAGUGGCGAAGGCGGCUUGCCAGAACGCGCUCGACGGUGAGGGAUGAAAGCUGGGGGAGCAAACCGGAUUAGAUACCCGGGUAGUCCC
rnacentral:rRNA from 1 species